AGGAUGAACGCUGGCGGCGUGCCUAACACAUGCAAAGUCGAACGAAGCACUUAUCUUUGAUUCUUUCGGGGAUGAAGAGAUAUUUGACUGAGUGGCGGACGGGUGAGUAACGCGUGGGUAACCUGCCUCAGUACAGGGGGAUAACAGUUAGAAAUGACUGCUAAUACCGCAUAAGCGCACGGAGACGCAUGUCUUUGUGUGAAAAGCCGAGACGGUAUGAGAUGGACCCGCGUCUGAUUAGGUAGUUGGUGGGGUAACGGCCUACCAAGCCGACGAUCAGUAGCCGACCUGAGAGGGUGACCGGCCACAUUGGGACUGAGACACGGCCCAAACUCCUACGGGAGGCAGCAGUGGGGAAUAUUGCACAAUGGGGGAAACCCUGAUGCAGCGACGCCGCGUGAGUGAAGAAGUAUUUCGGUAUGUAAAGCUCUAUCAGCAGGGAAGAAAAUGACGGUACCUGACUAAGAAGCCCCGGCUAACUACGUGCCAGCAGCCGCGGUAA
rnacentral:rRNA from 1 species